rnacentral:rRNA from 1 species
GACGAACGCUGGCGGCGUGCUUAACACAUGCAAGUCGAACGGAAAGGCCCUGCUUUUGUGGGGUGCUCGAGUGGCGAACGGGUGAGUAACACGUGAGUAGCCUGCCCUUGACUUUGGGAUAACUUCAGGAAACUGGGGCUAAUACCGGAUAGGAGCUCCUGCUGCAUGGUGGGGGUUGGAAAGUUUCGGCGGUUGGGGAUGGACUCGCGGCUUAUCAGCUUGUUGGUGGGGUAGUGGCUUACCAAGGCUUUGACGGGUAGCCGGCCUGAGAGGGUGACCGGCCACAUUGGGACUGAGAGACGGCCCAGAAUCCUACGGGAGGCAGCAGUGGGGAAUAUUGCACAAUGGGCGGAAGCCUGAUGCAGCAGCGCCGCGUGCGGGAUGACGGCCUUCGGGUUGUAAACCGCUUUCGCCUGUGACGAAGCGUGAGUGACGGUAAUGGGUAAAGAAGCACCGGCUAACUACGUG